AGCAGUCGCCGCGGGAAUACGUAGGUGGCAAGCGUUGUCCGGAAUUAUUGGGCGUAAAGGGCUCGCAGGCGGUUUCUUAAGUCUGAUGUGAAAGCCCCCGGCUCAACCGGGGAGGGUCAUUGGAAACUGGGAAACUUGAGUGCAGAAGAGGAGAGUGGAGUUCCACGUGUAGCGGUGAAAUGCGUAGAGAUGUGGAGGAACACCAGUGGCGAAGGCGACUCUCUGGUCUGUAACUGACGCUGAGGAGCGAAAGCGUGGGGAGCGAACAGGAUUAGAUACCCGGUAGUCCCUGUCUCUUAUACA
rnacentral:rRNA from 1 species